CUAGUGGCGGACGGGUGAGUAACACGUGGGCAACCUGCCCUACAGCCUGGGAUACCAUCGGGAAACUGAUGUUAAUACCGGAUACGCUCUUUUGAUCGCAUGAUCUAAGGAGGAAAGAUUUAUCGCUGUAGGAUGGGCCCGCGGUCCAUUAGCUAGUUGGUAGGGUAACGGCCUACCAAGGCGACGAUGGAUAGCUGGUCUGAGAGGACGAUCAGCCACACUGGGACUGAGACACGGCCCAGACUCCUACGGGAGGCAGCAGUGGGGAAUAUUGCGCAAUGGGGGCAACCCUGACGCAGCAAUGCCGCGUGAAGGAUGAAGGCUUUCGGGUCGUAAACUUCUGUCUAGAGGGAUGAAAUUUUGACAGUACCUCUGGAGGAAGCCCCGGCUAACUACGUGCCAGCAGCCGCGGUAAUACGUAGGGGGCAAGCGUUGUCCGGAAUCACUGGGCGUAAAGCGCGCGUAGGUGGU
rnacentral:rRNA from 1 species